GACGAACGCUGGCGGCGUGCCUAAUACAUGCAAGUUGAGCGCUGAAGGUUGGUACUUGUACCAACUGGAUGAGCAGCGAACGGGUGAGUAACGCGUGGGGAAUCUGCCUUUGAGCGGGGGACAACAUUUGGAAACGAAUGCUAAUACCGCAUAAAAACUUUAAACACAAGUUUUAAGUUUGAAAGAUGCAAUUGCAUCACUCAAAGAUGAUCCCGCGUUGUAUUAGCUAGUUGGUGAGGUAAAGGCUCACCAAGGCGAUGAUACAUAGCCGACCUGAGAGGGUGGUCGGCCACAUUGGGACUUGGACACGGCCCAAACUCCUACGGGGGGCAGCAGUAGGGGAUCUUCGGCCAUGGACGAAAGUCUGACCGGGCAACGCCGCGUGAGUGAAGAAGGUUUUCGGAUCGUAAAACUCUGUUGGUAGGGAAGAACGUUGGUGAGAGUGGAAAGCUCAUCAAGUGACGGUAACUACCCAGAAAGGGACGGCUAACUACGUG
rnacentral:rRNA from 1 species